AGAAUCAACGCUGGCGGCGUGCCUAACACAUGCAAGUCGAACGAGAAAGUGGAGCAAUCCAUGAGUAAAGUGGCGCACGGGUGAGUAACACGUGACUAACCUACCCUUGAGUGGGGAAUAACUUCGGGAAACCGAGGCUAAUACCGCAUAACACCUACGGGUCAAAGGAGCAAUUCGCUUAAGGAGGGGGUCGCGGCAGAUUAGUUAGUUGGCGGGGUAAAUGGCCCACCAAGACAGUGAUCUGUA
rnacentral:rRNA from 1 species